AUAACUAUAGUUGUGAUAUUUCAUUCAAAAGUUGACAGAAAAAGAAAAAAAUAUAUGUAGAAAAAGAAGAACUUUUUAAAAAAAAAAUAAGUGGAAAAAGCAAAGAAGGAUGUCAUUACAUUUUCCUUCUGAAAAAAAAAAGAGAAUAAAAAGAUAAAAGAGAAGAAAAAUCGUAGAAAAGUUGUUGUUUGAAAGUGGAUGAAUGUAGUUCAACUCCCGCAAGUUCUUUCAUGUCUCUUUUUUCCCUUUGAAUCUUAGCCUAGUACCCCUUAGGAUUU
rnacentral:lncRNA from 1 species